CCACCUGUGCAUGGAGCGUUGGAGGCCUGAGUGCUGCAGGUGUGCUACUGCACACCUGUUAGGAAUCAAGCUCCUUUGGAGGGGUAUAUGAGGAGCUAGCUGCCAGUUCUUCGUCGCUUGACUGUUAACCUAUAGUGGUUUCCCUGUGCUGACUUCAGGCUUACACUGUAGUAUUCCUGGACCUCAAGCCACCUACCUCCUAACAAGGUUUCCUGAAAAAUGUCCUCCACAACUGGCAACCUCAAGGUUCCUUAUUUCCCUCUCCUCUGUGCAACCUGUUUGCCCUCUGGCACUCAAGUCAAGAUCCUCCAACAUCUCCUCUUUCUCCACCCUUCAUAUCCAUCUCACACACACUAUUGGACCUAAGCCCCGGAUUCUGCUCAUUCCCCUGGCGUCAUCAUCUGCACUCACCAUGAUGCUGCAGUCCAUUUCCCCUGUGAAGAACCCGGUCAGGACCAGAUCAUUGUAACCAUUUAUUCAUUGUAUGCAAUAAACCUUUUAAAAUCUU